rnacentral:rRNA from 1 species
GAGUUUGAUCUGGCUCAGGAUGAACGCUGGCGGCGUGCUUAACACAUGCAAGUCGAGCGAAGCACUUCACUUUUAUUCUUCGGAUGCGAGGUGAUUUGACUGAGCGGCGGACGGGUGAGUAACGCGUGGGGCAACCUGCCUCAUACAGGGGGAUAACAGUUAGAAAUGACUGCUAAUACCGCAUAAGACCGCGGUGCCGCAUGGCACAGCGGUAAAAACUCCGGUGGUAUGAGACGGGCCCGCGUCUGAUUAGCUAGUUGGCGGGGUAACGGCCCACCAAGGCGACGAUCAGUAGCCGACCUGAGAGGGCGACCAGCCACAUUGGGACUGAGACACGGCCCAAACUCCUACGGGAGGCGGCAGUGGGGAAUAUUGCACAAUGGGGGAAACCCUGAUGCAGCAACGCCGCGUGAGUGAAGAAGUAUUCGGUAUGUAAAGCUCUAUCAGCAGGGAAGAAAAAAAGACGGUACCUGACUAAGAAGCCCGGCUAACUACGUGCCAGCCGCCGCCGUAAU